AUUGGACGCUGGCGGCAGGCCUAACACAUGCAAGUCGAACGAGUGGCGGACGGGUGAGUAAUGUCUGGGAAACUGCCUGAUGGAGGGGGAUAACUACUGGAAACGGUAGCUAAUACCGCAUACCAUCGGAUGUGCCCAGAUGGGAUUAGCUUGUUGGUGGGGUAACGGCUCACCGAGUCGACGAUCCCUAGCUGGUCUGAGAGGAUGACAAGCGACACGGGAACUGAGACACGGUCCAGACUCCUACGGGAGGCAGCAGUGGGGAAUAUUGCACAAGGGGCGGAAGCCUGAUGCAGCCAUGCCGCGUGUAUGAAGAAGGCCUUCGGGUUGUAAAGUACUUUCAGCGGGGAGGCGUUACCCGCAGAAGAAGCACCGGCUAACUCCGUGCCAGCAGCCGCGGUAAUUC
rnacentral:rRNA from 1 species